rnacentral:rRNA from 1 species
AACGAACGCUGGCGGCAGGCCUAACACAUGCAAGUCGAGCGAGGACUUCGGUUCUAGCGGCGGACGGGUGAGUAACGCGUGGGAAUGUGCCCUUCUCUACGGAAUAGCCCUGGGAAACUGGGAGUAAUACCGUAUACGCCCUAUUGGGGAAAGAUUUAUCGGAGAAGGAUCAGCCGCGUUGGAUUAGGUAGUUGGUGGGGUAAUGGCCUACCAAGCCGACGAUCCAUAGCUGGUUUGAGAGGAUGAUCAGCCACACUGGGACUGAGACACGGCCCAGACUCCUACGGGAGGCAGCAGUGGGGAAUCUUAGACAAUGGGGGCAACCCUGAUCUAGCCAUGCCGCGUGAGUGAUGAAGGCCUUAGGGUUGUAAAGCUCUUUCAGCUGGGAAGAUAAUGACGGUACCAGCAGAAGAAGCCCCGGCUAACUCCGUG